UUAGUCGUGUAUGUGUUUUCCCUCCUAAUGUUACGUCUGAGCUUACAAUGGCAUUACAGUAACUUCAUCUUCUUUACUUGAAGUAGAAAGGGAAGAAAAGAGGUAAAAGGAUUGGAGAAGCGUAAAAAUCACUCACAGGGAGUAGCUGUGAAGUGCGGAGAGAGCGGAAGAUUGCCUCAAGAGCAACUGCAGUUAUUUCAAAAGCGCAGUAGGGAGGCGAGAGAAGAGAGACUAACGAGAUCGCGCCCCUGCCUUUCCAAUCUCCUCCAAGUUCUUCCUUUUCUCCCCUCUCGACCUCUUCCGAUCCCGAAAUCCUUGGAAAGUGGGGAUUUUUUUCGUUGCCAUACGGUUCGCUGCUCCGUUACCGGAUCGAUUGCUGAAUGCCGCUCGUUUGCGCCUCGAGUUCGCGCCGGGGGAGACUGCGGUAGGACAAAGACGCCAGCCUUCGUGCCUGUCGGUCGAUGGCGGACAAGCCCUAGGCGGAGGGUUGGCGUCGGGAAGGCAUCAGAUGCGGACAAAGGUGCGGAGUUUGAUUGAGUAUAUCAUUCUAUUUCCGACUUGAUCGGAAAUCCAAGUUUGAACAACGGAUUGAAGGACCACUCGUUAGAAACUAUCCAAAUUUUUAGAAGAAACAAACUGGAUGAUAGUAUUGCUGAUGAAAGCCACUACUGUGUGUGAGCGAAUCAUCGAUGUGGUGGUGCUUUAGGCUGUGGAAGUAAGGCAGCCUUUUGACUAGGAUACUGAAAGAUGCCACCUUCACCCUCGUUGAGGCGCUCUCCUGGGAUAGAACUGAGAAAGGGGAGUUCCCAUACAAGGGGCCAGAGUUUUGAAAGUGGAUUGCUGCUCAAGGCCAAAGAUGACGAUCUUGUUUUGUUCCAUGAGAUGCAGAAGCAUGAGACAGACAACUUCUUGCUACAUAUGUCUGACGAUUUUGAUGACUCCAUAACAAAAUUUGGUUACACUUCAGACCUCAAGCUCGGCAUAACUAUUCCAGCUGAAGGAGAGGCCAGUGGUCUACUGGACAUAGAUGGUGACAAAAAUGACUAUGAUUGGCUUUUAACACCUCCGGAUACUCCCCUCUUUCCAUCACUGGAUGAUGAGUCUCAACCACUUAACACUUCUAGGGGAAGGAUACGAAGUCAGCCAAUUUUGAUUUCAAGACCUUAUACGAAUGAGAAGACUCAGAGGACAAGUAGAAGUAGUGCAAGCCCCAAAAGGUUAAGCCUGUCUCCUCAAUCAAGCUAUGGUGUAGUCCAACCAUCUGCCAGACCAUCUUCACCUCCUCACUACACCUCUCCUGUUAUACGACAAACAACCCCCUCACAAAGAUCUUCCACUCCAACCAAGCCUUCAACACUGACUCCCAGGUCUUCAACUCCCACACUACAGAGGAUGAGUAGUGGUCUAAGUGGACAGACAUCCACUUCUGGUAGAAGGGGAACAUCCCCGGUAAAUAUGAACCGGGGUCAUUCUGCAUCACCAAAAUUAAGAGGCUGGCAAUCUAACAGUUUCCCCAUUAUUGAUGCACCACCAAAUUACCGCACUUCUCUGCCAGACCGGUUAUCUUCACGUGUUCGGGGUUCAUCUCCAGCUUCUGGAAAUUCAAUGGUUUCAUCUUCAAAAGUUGGAAGGCGAUCAAUGUCACCAUCAGCAUCUACAAAGGCCCGCUCGUCACACAAUCAUGAAAGUCACCAGUUUACCUCUUGCAAUAAGGCCUCUUUAGCAUCUUCUGGUGAUGAUGGUGUGGAUUCAGUGCUCUCUGUUGGACUAUCUGGUAACGCUGCAGUUAGAAAAUAUGGUGCUUCUGCAAACAGUAAGGCUAUCACAAAUUACAGGAAACCUUCCAGUUUUCCCUCUUCAGGUUCUGGCCCAAGAAGGUCUUUGGAUUCUGCAGUAAGACAGAUAGAUCACCAGAAAAUCCCCCAGAACAUGUUCAGGCCACUCAUGUCAAGUGUCCCUGCCACUACAUUUUAUGUUGGUAAAACAACACAUGGGACUACGUUCUCUAGGAGUUUGUCACAAUUUACUAAUCAUAAUGCAAGCACCAUAAAUGAUUUGAACUAUGCUGCUGAUGUGGAGGAUAGUGAUCAUGCCCAAAGUGAUCUGGCUGGUGAAUCAGAAAAGAUAAAAGAUUCUAAAACCCAAGAAGUGUCUAUGAGUAACUUUGAUGAGAUAAGUGAAGAUAACUGUUAUCAUGCUCUUUCUGGAAAACUUCGGGGUGGCACCAAAGGUUUUGAUCAAGGCAUGAACAAAGAAGAUGAUGUUCAGGAACUAGAAAGUUCUGCUGGUGAAACUGCACUUCAAUCUUCAGAUAUUGCUCGAUGUUCUGGGAUCGGAUCAUAUGUUGCUUGCUUAAUAUGUGGAAAACAUUUCCUUAUCAUAGAUGUGGAUGGAUACAAGGAUAUUUGCCAAGAAUGUGCUGCAACAGAUAAGCUAUUGGAUUCCAGAGGACAACGGGGCGAUCCAGAUAAAGCUACUGAUGUAACUGGAAAUGAUUCACUGGAUUCACCAGAUAGCAAAGUGCAUCUCCAAAUGGGAAUGGCUGAACGUCCUGAUAAGAAUCAGAGUGAAUUUUUACUUGGUAAACAUCAAUGCAAUUGUAAACAGGAUGUUAAUCUUUUCCCAGACAAUUGUCCACCUCAGAUAGCGAUAGACGUUGGGCUUGAACACCUUCCGGAACAGGUAAUGAAUAGCUUGAUAAAUAUAGGAGAUCAACCACUUCGUGAACAAUUAAUGAAUAGCCUUGAUGGAGAGAGUCCUAAAGAAGCUACUGGUAGAUAUAUUCCUCAACUAUCAAAUCCAACUGCAUAUUCUAGCCUAACAUUUGACAUUGCUGAGGGCACAGGCAUUUCAGCACUGGUAAUGCAAAGGUCUAGCAGCAUCAAAUGGCCUGCUGUGCAAAGGAGGGCUUACUCUGCUACAAGUAUAAUUUGUUCUGACCCUUCAUAUUCUAGGGAUAAUUUUAGUGGCAUGAAAUGCAACACCGGUAGGGAAAGUUCUUCAGCUUCUUCCUCCAUUGAUUUGGGUUCAUCUGCACAAACAGUGGCAUCUAGGAAAACAGACAUCUGUGUUCUACGCCAGUCAAGCAGAAGGAUGGAUGAGGUGGACACUUUGAAAAUCAAUUAUAGUAUGAAUGCUGAAAGCAACGAUUCACAAUCAGAAGCCUCUGUCAGUGUCACAGCGGCAUCAGCUAACCUUCACAGAAAAUAUGAAAAAAUUCUUUGUAGAAUUAUGAAGUCUGCUUAUAAUGAGGAUAUUCAAGAAGCGUCUCUGGAUACUGCAAACCAUGUCAACACCUAUGAAGAUACUAAUUUAAGCCAUGCGGAAAAUGCAUCCAUUGAAAAGGCUUUUAUAGGUCAAGAUACCUCCUGCGCACCAAUAUUGGAUCCAGAAUUUUGUUUUCAAUUGCAUGAUGCAACAAUCCAAGAUAAUUUAAAUGAUGACAACAGCACCUUAUCCAGAAAAACUAAUGAAGUAGUAUUCCAGAAUGAUAGAGUGGGAAUCCUGGAUUUAGAAUUAGAGGUGCCAAUUACUACUCCGGAUUGCUCUUCCAUUGAGGAUAAUCACAUGCUAAAUGAUAUCGGAUGUCAAGAUGACAUCUUGGAUGCUGCAAGUAACAGCUCUUCUAAUUUACUUUUGGAGCAGCAAAUUGAACAUUGUUUUCAGGAUGCACAAAAUGAGCAGGCACAUGGCGAAGCACCUACUUACAUGGAUGGUCUCCAAGAACCACACGCAAAAGUUGAAGCUCCGAGGAGAAGUAUGCAAAGAACCUUUACUUUGGAAGAAGCAACCGACACUGUGCUCUUCUGCAGUUCUAUUGUUCAUGAUCUGGCCUAUAAAGCUGCAGCCAUUGGAAUGGAAAAGGAGAUGGCUGCAUCCGACGCUUCUCGCCCAACAGUGACACGUUUAGCAAAAUCUAUUUCCUAUCAGAUGGAUUUUCAAAAUACAUCCAAUAAAUGUGUAAAAAAUUCACGGAAAGUCAAAAGGAAAAGGCUGGAAAUUGAUACCAAGAAGCCACCCAUGGACUUGGGAAAUGAUGGCAACUAUCCGGAGCUUGUAUCUUCCAGUGCUGAAGAUUUACAAAUGAUCAACAGCAUGAAGCCCCCAAAGCUGGAAUCCAAGUGCAACUGCACUGUGAUGUAGGGAGGUCCCUUGGAAUCCAAUUGCAAUGUUGUGACAACUGCAACAUUUGGUAAGCUUGUUAGCAGCCAAGAUCUGAGGGAUCUGUCAUCCGUGACACGUCAUGAUAAGCUUUAGCCUACCUUAAGCGCCUCCUGGAAGUUCAUCAGUGGUUAAUAAAGGUCGACAGCAUCAGUGUAAAAGAGCAAAAUUAUCACUUCCAAGAUUCUGAACAGAGAUCCAGUUGGUGAAUUGAUGACACAACAGAAUACUUCAUGCACUCAUGGCCUCUUUAGUUCAAUGCAUUUGUGGACAUACUUGAUCGCUAGAUUUCUGCAUCUGAACAUGCAGGAAUGAGGAUGCAGACUUGCUUGUUGAGUAUUAGGAUUCUCUGAUGCUAUAUGUGCAUGUGUGUUGACAGGAUAUGCUUAAAAGAAGAGGACUGUAGCAAGACAUUGCUCAUGAAACUACUGAACCAUAUGAACAUUGUGUUUGGAAACCAUAUUAUUGUCACGUUUGAGUGGCAUUA